GCAGUGGUGGUUCCAUAGUAGAAUUCUUGCCUUCCAUGUGGGAGACCUGGGUUCCAUUCCCGGCCGGUGCA
rnacentral:tRNA from 1 species